AUGAAGCUGUGCUCUUGAAUGGAGGGAACGGAACGGAAGUUCUAUGGAAUGAAGCAAAUCACUGUGCAGAGCCUGUGGUCAUGGUUUAAAGUGUUGUUGAGCUCCACUCAUGGUAAUGCUGCCAUUGAGAGAAACCUGCCCAGAAAACUGCUUGUGUGAUUCCUGCAACUUCUUACCACUUCAGCGGCCUUGGUUUGGUUGUGGUAAACACCAUGAUCAAAUGCAACUUGGCAGAGGGAAGAAGGUAUUCAUCAUCAAGGGAAGCCAAGGCAGGCACUUAAGCAGGAACCUGGAGGCAGGAACUGGA